CUGUCUCUUGCUUCAACAGUGUUUGGACGGGACAG
rfam:Myotis lucifugus cont2.31587, whole genome shotgun sequence.